CGGGAAACCGGAGCUAAUACCGAUAAUAUUUCGAACCGCAUGGUUCGAUAGUGAAAGGUGGUUUUGCUAUCACUUAUAGAUGGACCCGCGCCGUAUUAGCUAGUUGGUAAGGUAACGGCUUACCAAGGCGACGAUACGUAGCCGACCUGAGAGGGUGAUCGGCCACACUGGAACUGAGACACGGUCUAGACUCCUACGGGAGGCAGCAGGC
rnacentral:rRNA from 1 species